AAAGAAACAUGACAAAGCUCAGAUUUGAAUACAAUGAAAGCAAAGAAUACAAAUGAUGUUUAUUCAUAUGGGACAUGUCAGGCAAGUUACAUAACCCAUAAAACAGCCAAAUACGAAAUGCAAUGCAAUACAUUUUAAUACAUUUUACAUAGAAAAUUAAGCGUUUGCAAUGUGCAACGAAGCAAAUUAUAAACUGUUUGUUUGGUGAAUGAACAUCAGUCGGUUGGAAAUGCAUGUUAGUUGUAUGCAGUGCAACUAAAUGCUGCAUCUGCAUGUUUUGUAGGAACAGUUAACACACUACUAUCGCAUGACAUGAGAGCUAAAGAGUGCAAAUACAGUAAGACCUACACCAAAAAAACCGUUUUGGGUCUAUUACCAUGUGGGGAUUUUCAGAGAUACAGUGCCAUUGUUAAUUUUACAAGUUCUGUUUUCUUCUUCUUUGUUAGAACAAUCAAAUCAUCUGCAGCCUCAAAGUCUGUUUGGAGGGGAGACGUUAUAAACGGUCUCCUACAGUUGAUCCCGAUGGAAAUGAAAGUGGGGAUAGAUUCUUUAAAGAUCUUGCCUGAACUUGAAUGCUCCAGUUCUCCCAGUUUUCAGGACUUUUUUGUUGACCUGGCAUGCUUAUUAGGAUUUCAAUCUGAGUCUUCAGCAGGAAAUUCAAAGACAGAGUUUGAUGACAGAGAUGAGUUUGUGCCUCUUUCUUCUGUCUUUCUGUUGUGUAUGAUGUCAGUUUUCUUCUAAAGAGAAAGCAAAUUUUAAGGCUGACGUAAUGACACUCAAAUACAGUCAGCUGGCUGAGAUUACAUUAUCUACAUUAUCUGAUAUCUAACUCCCCACCUAAGUGCCUGAAUAACUUACAAUUUUGAUAAUUAGCUGUUGCUUACUGACUGACUGCCUGGCUGCAUGACUGAUGGCCAUAUUGACUGGCUGCCUGUCUGUCUGCCAUACUGACAAACUGGAUGACUAUUGAGGCUCAGUCCUGCUAUGUGGUGAGAUCAUCAUCACUGGCAAGUGCAACAAAAGACUGAUGGGAAGAGGCUGUCUAUGUGUGUGUGGGGGUGUGUGUGCAAGUGUGUGAUGGCUUCAUUCCUGUAUUAACACAGUUCUCUCUGUGGAUGAGUCAGUAGGCCAAGCCUGACCAUCAUCCUCUCUCAUCUCCCUUUCUCUGUCACACACAUACACAGGAAAUCAAAAAGCUCUCAGCACACACACACACACACACACACACACACACACACACACACACACACACACACACACACACACACAAAAUGUAGGCUUAGGGUGAAGUGGUGCUUAGAAGAAGCGAACUUGGGGUCAGGGUAGAGAGAGAGAGACAAGAGAAGGGACAGAUAACACUUCUGUGGGAGACACUAUGUUUUAUUUUCAGUGCAUCAUAAAUGGCUGUUUCCAUUGACUAAUCCUUUAAUUUUAAAACCUGACAUCUCCUCUAAACUAUUCAUAAACUACUCUACAUUUUACAAUCAUAUCAUAGUUUUAUUUUAUUCCAGGGCUGACUCUUUUCUUCUGCUUUAAAGCACGAGCUAUGAGAUAAAGAAAGGAGCAGACACAGAGAAGUGACAGAAAGAGCAGAGCCAGUGUUAGGAGGAACACAUGGGGGAGAGGAUUUAGUGUAACACCCAGCUGUCUACCUGUCUGUCUGACUGAGGGAAAGUGGGGUUUUCAGUGUAACACAGAGCCAAGCUGUUCUCCUCAGCGGCGGGUAAAAGUGUGUGUGUAUGUGUACUCUCCUUGCUUGCUUGGUCUCAGGGGCGCCAUGGUGAGGAGGAGAUAGGCAGACGACCAAAUUCUCUCUCUCUCUCUCACUCUCCUGUCUCCAGUAUAGAUGUCUCUAUAUGAACACAAAGCGAAAGAGAGAGGAUGAGAGACACAGAGAAAGAGAAAAACAGAGGGGAGGUAACAACAAAACAGACCCUCUCCAUGCCAAUGCAAAACCCCACUGUACCUCUGUUGGUCUCUCCUUCUGUUUUUGUCUUGUUUCUGUCAGAUGAAUCUCAAUCCCCUGCUUUGAGGAUAUAUGACUUCUCAGCUCUUUCUCUUCUUACAGUCUCUCUAUUUCUUAAGUAUUUUCUCUUUUUUCCCAUUUCUCUAUUAACCCCUUUGUUGUCCAUCUUUUUAUCCCACCAUCUUUUCUUCCCCUAAAAAAGGGUAUAUGAGCAGUUUUAUGCAUUUGUUUAUUUAUUUUGCUUUUUAGAUUCAUCUAUAUGUAACUGUUCUCUUUGUUAAUGUAUGUUUUUACAUAUUUAAUCUCACGGGUUAUCCUCUAUGUGAAAUUAUUGACUACAUGGGUUUUAUUUAGCAAUAUGUGCAGCUGAAAAUUCUUAGUAUAUGAACAGAAGGAUAAAACUACCUUUAUUUUGGUUUGUAAAGAGUAAUUAUAAAUGUUGUAUUAAUGUCUUUUAAUGUGUUACAGUAAAUUUGAUUUACUCUACAUUCAACUAAUGUAUUCUAUUAUAAAGGGACAAGGUUAGUUUCCAUUUCUUUACAUAGUAAAAAUAUUGUUGAUCAUGUGAUAGUAUUUUCCAUGUGUACAUGUCUUUUUUGUACUGCUAGUUUUCCAAACCAUGUAUAAAUCAAUUAUUUAAAGCAAAUGUGACACCAAACUGGUUUUAAAACACGUUGUUAUUGUUGUUUUAUUAACAAAGCUGUAAUAGAAAACUAACUGCAAAAGAAAAAACUUUUUCAAUAUGGACACUAAAUAUUUUCCUUGUCUUGUAUAAAAAACUAUUUUCAAUUCAGAUCCCCUUGUUAAACUUCACAAACUAGAAAAAGAAGCUGUAAAGUAAACUGAAAUAGCACCUACCUGCCACCUGCAGAGACAGAAGACACACAAGAAUAGAGAGCUAGAAUGGCAAAUACAAUAGAGGAGGAAAUGUUAUCAUAUACGGCUUCAAUGAUUAAUAUUUUACGUGGUUUCUCAAGAGAAUAAUCUACAUCAUAUAGAGAUGCAAUUUCCAUAAUGCACACAUCCUCAUUUCAUUAGAGGAAAACCCUAUAAAAUGGUUAAAGGCCUGAAUAAUGAUGCAGCGGCAAUUAAAAUGGCGGAUAACCCAGCGGACCUGCAGGCAGUUAUCCUUAAUGAGAUAAUAAUAAUCUCUGCUCUUUUUUUCUCUUUUAACAACUUACAUCAUUGUCGUGCUGCUUAAAUAUGGUUUAUGCUCCGGAUUCAUCAAAAAGAAAAAACCUUGAUAAGGGGCGUAGGUGACUGUUUUGUUCAUUCUGAGGGAGGUCGCUGUCUUUUUUUGAUGACAAAAUUUAUUAAUGAUCAAAUGUUUUUAAAUAAAGUACAAAGAGUGCAUGGGAACCUCUUUAUUGGGUGAAACAGCUGAAGUUGUCCUUUAUUGUUUGUUAUUAUUAAUCUGAUUCUUGGUGUACAAUAAAAGUUAUUUUUUUGUUUUUUGGAUUUUAUUUUAAAAUGUGUCAGCUGUGAUUCUGGAACAAAAAAAACCUUGAAAAAAUCUUGAAGAAAUAUGAUAAACUGAAGGGGGAAAAGUGUUGAACAGACAGCCUGCAUGUGAGGAUAUAAAUAGACGCGAGACUUCACAAGUCCAAACACAAAAGCGUUCUCAGGGAGCAGAGGAGGGAUGCAAAGUGCUAAACUCACCAGCACCCAGUGACGUGGUGAUACUGGUCGUUUUCCUGCCGGGGGAAGAUUUAAUAAACGCAGAAAAACAAACACGGUCUGUGCAGUGACGGGGUUGUUGCGAGGUGAGGACGGUGGCACACUGGACACAUCCUCCUGUAGGAAGGAAGCGGAGUUGUGGAAAAAAAGCAAACAGGAGCCACGGACGGGUCUCUUUAACCCCGCCGUGAACUCGCGACCCUACCAUCCGACUACUUCCCAUUACCUCUGCACGACAUUUAGCCCACAUACCGCAGAGCGCUCACGCACACGCAGCAUUGUGUGGGUCUGUUUGGAUGGGGUGGAGGGGAGCAAGCGAGGGCGGCGGCGUGCUGUUCAUGGAAGGGUCAAAAGAAUGAAAACUACCGUGUUCACAGGGCAAUUACAAAGUGCGGACGCUGGAUGGUCUGUGCAGCCUCAGCCGACAGGGAGAGAAAAUAUUAGGCUGAAGCAAAAGGAUUUCUUAAAAAUAUUUUUUCUCACUUUUGGCUAAUAUUAAACUUAAAGUUAAAUCUCUUUUUAUCUCAUUUGAUGGUGGAUUUAAUGGGUAAAAUCAACAUUGAGUAAAAAACAAACAAAACAAGAACAACCCGUUCUGAAAUUUGGAAAAACCUUUCUUCUUUUCUUUUCUUUUCUUUUCUUUUCUUUUCUUUUCUUUUCUUUUCUUUUCUUUUCUUUUCUUUUCUUUUCUUAACGUCUAAUUUUAAAUUGUAUGAUAACGCAAAUAGCCUGCCUCAAACCUCAUUAUAAUCUCGAUAUUAUUGCUGCAUAACAAGAAAUUUAUCAAAAAGAAAAGCGUCACUAUUUCCCAAUCCAAUCAAUCUAAGUUAAGGCUCGUUAUGAGCGUGCUGUACUAGUGCUCCAGUGUGAACUUAUCUGAGUGAAUUUUCUGCAAAGAAAAAAGCUCGUUUGGAUCUUAUUUUGCUAACAACUAAAAGUCGCAUUAAAGCAAUAAAAUAGUGACGCCUUUGAUGACUCCCGUCAGAAUUAAUUGCUCUGCAUACUGUCAGACUGUUUCAUUAGGAUGUUUACAAAUCUGUCAUUAGCUGUAAAGACUAAUUAUGGGUAAAGUAUCAAUAACUUUAAGCAAUUGUAAAUUUAAUAUUCAUCUAAUUUGGACUAUAUAAUAUUAAGACGUUCUGUUGCGCAUUUUUACUUACUGUGCUAUUCCGGGUGUUUUUCGACACUUACAGUCUAUUGGACAUUAGACAGCUUUAUCCUAUCUGCUGAAAGGCCAGCUGAUACGCUACUGUGUCGAGCUCGCAAUUUCAAUCUAUAGUGUUUUCUUCUACAUGGCUGUGCCAUAAAGGGUUACGUUCUUUUCUGUUAGAUGUAUAUUUUUUCACAUAUAUUUCUUUUUCUCUGAUAUAUAGUCUGUGUCUAAUGCUUUUAGAUUAUUUCUUCUUCUGAUGGAGUAAAGCUGCCUCUAAAUGUUAAAGAUAAUAGGUUAACUGAGUGGAAAGGUCGUGGUUGCUUAAGAAGAGAAAUGAAGCGGCCACAGGAGACACGACGGAGGGCAGAUCCACAACUACAGCUGCCACACAUGAAUGUUUGAUAAGCGGGCGGGAUAAUGGCUUCUUAAAUCAGUCAAACAUAAACAUCUCCAUCACGCUCUGACAUCUGCCAUCCAUAAUAAUCUAAACCUGAAUAAUGAACGAACAACAACAAAAACGCUGAAAUAUCUCAAUGUGCCAUAUAGGAAGGCGGAUAUAGGUCAAGUUUGUUUUGUUCGGUUUAUGUUAGUAUGUAUGUGCUAUUGCAAUACUUGCGGUGACUGUCGCUUUGUGGCCUGGGUAUCACUUCAGGGUUUUUGUAUAUGCGCAAGUAAGCUGCACAGAAAAGAUUGCAGGUCAUAUGCAGGCUCCACUGAUUUCAGCAGCGUGUGUUU
ensembl:lncRNA